GGAUAAACGCUGGCGGCGUGCUUAACACAUGCAAGUCGAACGAAGUUUUUCCUUCGGGAGAAACUUAGUGGCGGACGGGUGAGUAACGCGUGGGUAACCUGCCCUGUACAGGGGGACAACAGCUGGAAACGGCUGCUAAUACCGCAUAAGCCCUUAGCACUGCAUGGUGCAUAGGGAAAAGGAGCAAUCCGGUACAGGAUGGACCCGCGUCUGAUUAGCCAGUUGGCAGGGUAACGGCCUACCAAAGCGACGAUCAGUAGCCGAUCUGAGAGGAUGUACGGCCACAUUGGGACUGAGACACGGCCCAGACUCCUACGGGAGGCAGCAGUGGGGAAUAUUGCACAAUGGAGGAAACUCUGAUGCAGCGACGCCGCGUGAGUGAAGAAGUAUUUCGGUAUGUAAAGCUCUAUCAGCAGGGAAGAAAAUGACGGUACCUGACUAAGAAGCACCGGCUAAAUACGUG
rnacentral:rRNA from 1 species